rnacentral:rRNA from 1 species
GCUACGCUGGCGGCGUGUCUUAGCCAUGCAAGUCGAGCGGACUUAUGGGGUAACUUAUAAGGUCAGCGGCGGACGGCGGAGUAACACGUAGCUAACCUACCCUCUGGACGGGGAUAACCUACCGAAAGGUGGGCUAUACCCGAUGUAGUCAUCCUGUAUAGGGGUGAUGAAAGGUGGGCUUCUGUUUACAAGCUCAUGCUGGAGGAGGGGGCUGCGGCCUAUCAGGUAGUUGGUAGGGUAAUAGCCUACCAAGCCGAUGACGGGUAGCCGGCCUGAGAGGGUGACCGGCCCGAGGGGCACUGAGAUACGGGUCCCACUCCUACGGGAGGCAGCAGGCUAGAAAUUUGGGCAAUGGGGGAAACCCUGACCCAGUGACGCCGCGUGCAGGAAGGAGCCCUUCGGGGUGUAAACUGCUGUCGUGUAGGGAGAAGGGUACUAAGGUGAACAAUCUUAGUACUUGACGGUACUACAGGAGGAAGCCCAGGCUAACCUCGUG